AAUGAUGCACUCAAUCUGU
rnacentral:snRNA from 1 species